GCCGGGGGUGGUGGCACACACUUGUAGUCCCAGCUACUUAGGAGGCUGAGGCGGGAGGAUGGCUUGAGCCCAGGAGUUCGAGACUGCAGUGGGCUGUGAUCGAGCCAUUGCACUCUAGCCUGGGUGACAGAGCAAGACCCUGUCUCUA
ensembl:misc_RNA Metazoa_SRP Metazoan signal recognition particle RNA